CCUACGGGAGGCAGCAGUAGGGAAUAUUGCUCAAUGGGGGAAACCCUGAAGCAGCAACGCCGCGUGGGGGAUGAAGGUUUUCGGAUUGUAAACUCCUUUUGUUAGAGAAGAUAGUGACGUUUUCUAACGAAUAAGCACCUGCUAACUCCGGCACAGCAGCCGCGGUAAGACGGAGGGUGCAAGCGUGACUCAGAAUCACGGGUCGUAAAGAUCGCGUAGGCGGUAUGGCAAGUCAGAGGUGAAAUCCUAUGGCUGAACCAGAGAACUGCCUUUGAAACUGUUAUUCUAGAGUAUGUGAGAGGUAGGUGGAAUUCUUGGUGUAGGAGUAAAAUCCGUAGAGAUCAAGAGGAACAGUCGUUGUGAAGGCGACCAGCUAGAACAUAACUGACGCUGAUGCGCGAAAGCGUGGGUAGCAAACAGGAUUAGAUACCCUAGUAGUC
rnacentral:rRNA from 1 species